rnacentral:rRNA from 1 species
UACGAAGGGGGCUAGCGUUGCUCGGAAUUACUGGGCGUAAAGGGAGCGUAGGCGGACAUUUAAGUCAGAGGUGAAAUCCCGGAGCUUAACUUCGGAACUGCCUUUGAUACUGGGUGUCUUGAGUGUGAGAGAGGUAUGUGGAACUCCGAGUGUAGAGGUGAAAUUCGUAGAUAUUCGGAAGAACACCAGUGGCGAAGGCGACAUACUGGCUCAUUACUGACGCUGAGGC